rnacentral:rRNA from 1 species
AGUGAACGCUGGCGGUAGGCCUAACACAUGCCAGUCGAACGGCAGCACAGUAAUAGCUUGCUCUUACGGGUUGCGAGUGGCGGACGGGUGAGGAAUACAUCGGAAUCUACUUUUUCGUGGGGGAUAACGUAGGGAAACUUACGCUAAUACCGCAUACGACCUACGGUUGAAAGCAGGGGAUCUUCGGACCUUGCGCGAUUGAAUGAGCCGAUGUCGGAUUAGCUAGUUGGCGGGGUAAAGGCCCACCAAGGCGACGAUCCGUAGCUGGUCUGAGAGGAUGAUCAGCCACACUGGAACUGAGACACGGUCCAGACUCCUACGGGAGGCAGCAGUGGGGAAUAUUGGACAAUGGGCGCAAGCCUGAUCCAGCCAUACCGCGUGGGUGAAGAAGGCCUUCGGGUUGUAAAGCCCUUUUGUUGGGAAAGAAAAGCAGCAGGUUAAUACCCCGCUGUUCUGACGGUACCCAAAGAAUAAGCACCGGCUAACUUCGUG